GACGAACGCUGGCGGCGUGCUUAACACAUGCAAGUCGAACGGCCAGGCCCUGCUUUUGUUGGGUGCUCGAUUGGCGAACGGGUGAGUAACACGUGAGUAACCUGCCCUUGACUUUGGGAUAACUUCAGGAAACUGGGGCUAAUACCGGAUAGGAGCUCCUGCUGCAUGGUGGGGGUUGGAAAGUUUCGGCGGUUGGGGAUGGACUCGCGGCUUAUCAGCUUGUUGGUGGGGUAGUGGCUUACCAAGGCUUUGACGGGUAGCCGGCCUGGGAGGGUGACCGGGCACAUUGGGACUGAGAUACGGCCCAGACUCCUACGGGAGGCAGCAGGGGGGAAUAUUGCACAAUGGGCGGAAGCCUGAUGCAGCAACGCCGCGUGCGGGAUGACGGCCUUCGGGUUGUAAACCGCUUUCGCCUGUGACGAAACGUGAGUGACGGUAAUGGGUAAAGAAGCACCGGCUAACUACGUG
rnacentral:rRNA from 1 species